AUGUUGAUGAAAGCGGUAGGAUAUAAUAUGGGAGGAGGGCAAAUGGUCCAAGUUUUCUAAUGCACGAGCUGACAGGGUGGGAGUCCCACUACUUAUUUAUCUAUCAUGUUCCCUUCCUGUUCUCACAGGUGUCCCUCCCCAGUAACCUUCUCAGUGUCUGCUUUCCAGAAAAAACAAGCUACAAUGAAUAUCUUCAACCACAGAACUAAUGCCAAUUUUAUUUUUCCAAUCGCACCCUCAGUAACACUGUACGAGCAUAUGGCUCUUCCUCAGGAACAGACAUUUGAUGACUUUGCCAACCGUCCCAGGAAACAUCCUUUGCAUUGAGAAGGCUUUACAAAGUAUACUGCUAAAACGUAAGUAGUCUAGACACGGUUGUCACUUGAAGUUUUGCUAACACUCAUAUUUCCCAGUUUGGGGUUAAGGACAUUUUAUUCUGGAGUGUGUUAAUAGAUGUGCCAAGAAAAAAGAAAAAAAAAGUCUUUCCUGGCUCAAAUAGGUUUGUUUAAUAGUUAAGCAAAAUUAGAGAGGUUUCUUUCUUUCUGCAGGACCUUUCAGAGCCUUUAAUAUGCUAAUGGGUAUUAUGACUUUCCUAGGAGAAAAUCUGGUAUUCAGCAUUUCCCAAGUUUUCCUGACCAUGAGGCUCUUUGUUCCUUGAGCACCAAUUAACACUCACAAGAAUCAGUGCGUGCAGAACAGAGCGCUCUAUAAAAAAUUAGCAGCCAAAUAACAGCAUAGGGAAGGCAAAAAAGAGAAACAAGGAUGAAGGGACACUCACACAGGAACUAGGAGAGCCCAGCAGCCAGUUUACCUUUCUCACAACUUUGCUAGCACCUGUGGUGGGUAUUUAAAUACUGAACAAAUUUUAACGAACGGCAUGACCCAUCUGAUAAUCACCUAUGCUCCAUAAACAUCGCAGUAACUAGACCUAUUGGUUGAGUUUCUCUGACUUCUACAUCUUUCCUGAAUAACACUUGAAUAAGCUAUUCGUUUUUCGAUUAUAUAAAGGCCAUCAAAGGAUUAAUUGGGGCAAAUUAAGCAAGGAACCUUGAAAUAAACUAUGUAGGUUUACUAAGAGUUGACUAAAA
rnacentral:lncRNA from 1 species